rnacentral:lncRNA from 1 species
UCAAACAGACAAAAUAGUUCUCAUAGCAGCACUAGCUCAUAUAUUACCUCUGGUAGCACUUCAUCAUCAAACACCACAAAAGUCACCUAGUUCUCAAACACCUCAUACAUGACAGACAAAAUAGUUCUCAAACACACAAAGUAGUUCUCAAACACACCACUAGCAUUACUGUCACCUAUCAGCACUAGCCUUACUGUCACCUAGCUCAUAUAUUACCAC